UACGUAGGGUGCGAGCGUUGUCCGGAAUUACUGGGCGUAAAGAGCUCGUAGGUGGUUUGUCGCGUUGUUCGUGAAAACUCACAGCUUAACUGUGGGCGUGCGGGCGAUACGGGCAGACUGGAGUACUGCAGGGGAGACUGGAAUUCCUGGUGUAGCGGUGGAAUGCGCAGAUAUCAGGAGGAACACCGGUGGCGAAGGCGGGUCUCUGGGCAGUAACUGACGCUGAGGAGCGAAAAGCGUGGGGGAGCGAAACAGG
rnacentral:rRNA from 1 species